GGGAUACCGUUUAAGUGAGGAAUUGUUUUAAAUUAUAAAUACCUUUUUCCUUAUUUCUUUUCCUCCAUCGCCGAUCUCGAUCUAUUUCUUCCCCAAACCCCAUCACCGAUCCUUUCCCAGACCCGACCUCCUCCUUCCACUCUUCCCCGAUCUUUCCUCCCCGCCAUCGAUUCUCUCUCACGGACGACUUGGCGCCGAGAUCGGAGGAGCACCUUCGGCGAUUGUCGGUGUUGCCUGAGGAGGAAGUCACCGGAGCUCGACGGAAUCCAAGCUAUAUUCGAUCGAGGGGUCGCUGCUUCGGUGAUUUCUGUGGCCGAGUGUCGACGAUCAGUGGCUAGGGCACGGUGAGAGCUAGAUCUUGCAUCGUCUCCUAUCGGUAGGCCUUCCCUCUCCUCCCUUGCGUCGACUGCCGACACCACUGGAAUCGAGUCAGAUUUGAUCGCCGGCAUGAAGGGGCGAUUAGGGCUUCAAGGUGUCCGAUCCUUCUUCCUGUUCAUCGACAAGAAUUUCACCGUGCCUAACUGUGAUCUUGAAGUGAUCUUCUUGUUGAUGUUGUCUUAAGCCGGUCCAGUGAGGAGGAAUUCCAGUAUCUUGCUCGAUUGGUGAUCUCCACCGCUUGACCUCCUGUUGAUUCGAUUGAUAUCGGUGGAGGGUUGUUUGCUGUGGAUAGUUACUGUUGCCGAUCACCACUUUCUCCUUCUUGAUCCGGUUGAUUUCAGUGAGGACUCUGAUUUGAGACAGGAGUCUCGACGUUUGAUUUGGCGUGAUACUACCUGUUAUUUGAGGCGGG